CGCUUUGGGAAGAGAAAGACGCUCGUCCGUUUCUUUCCGGUUUGCUAGAGAGAAAGUCUGCCGUUCCGUUUCCUUAAAAAAAAAAAAAAAACCCACACACAUUUAAAACUUCUACACUCAAAGCCAACGCCUUCCGAAAAACAAAAAUCAUUUUUCCCAGUUAGCCCGAUCGAAAAGCAAACAAGAAUCAGUGUACCUCCAACCGACGGCAAAGAUACAAAUACGACGAUUCAUUCCACCCUCGAAAAAAAAAAAAAAAUGAACAGGCCUAGUUUCGAAUCGAGCUACGGCCGCCUCAACACACACGCUCCUUACGUAAAAAUAGGUGGCGUCUAUGUCGCAGUAUAUCAAAAUUCAGCAGCAAGAAUGUAACCAAAAAUAAAGACAUUUAAACAUUCGUGGCAGCAAAAGAGGGAAAAGCGUUUCCAGGGCGUUCAUCCACCGACCACCUCAACCUCAACUGUUUUUUUUGUUUUUUUGGUCUUCGUCUGGUAUGAAAACCGCAAAACCCGGUUAAUUCCCAACGACGACAACAACAAACAGCCCUUGUGGCAUUGUAUAAACCCCCCCCCCCCCCCCCAAAAAAAAAAAAAAAAAGGAUUGAGGCCUGAAACGAUCGCAAAUAUUUUUACCAAGAUCAAACGGCGGGCAAGAAAACAAAAAUAAGACGGUCCCAAUUUAUUAGACUCCAUCUUAUUUUAUUUUUUUUUACUUCAACAUGCGAUGGUGUAAUGGUAACACACGACAAUCUGUUCCAAUGUUCCUUCACCGACAAGGGUUAAGGGUACAUCGAUAUUAUAAGACUAGGAGCUCGUAAGACUCAACGUCCAUAGAUGCAUAUGGCGUAAGGGUCUCCUCUUCUACUAAUAAAAAAAAAAGGGAUUUGUUUCAAGAGAAAGGGUCCGAUGAAAAUAAAAACAUGAGAAAAGGUAGUCGAAUGGAGUCAUAAAAAUUGGGGGGGAAAUUAAAAAUAGAAAACUUUUUUUUUUCUUUUUUUUUUUCGAUAGAUCGAGGGCCUAUUACCAUGGCUACCGCUUCUUCCUUUUUUUUUAUAUAUAUAAAAUAAAGAGCGUCGACCAGGCGGAGCAUCAGUUGGUAUUUCGGAUCUGACUAAGUCAGGCCCCACAAUCAUCUCAUCUUCAAUUUGAACGCGCAAAUUUCUUAUUAAAUUUAAAUCCCUUCAAAAAAAAAAAGAAGAAAAAAGGCAUAUUUCUCCGUUAUCGUUUCCAAAGUGUGUUGCACGCAGUCGACCCACUUUUUGACGUUCACGAAAAAAAAAAAAAAAAAAAAAACAGGGUUGUAUUUAAUCCCGGCAAAGUGAGAAAGAAAAAAAAAAGAACAUCCAUUCGGACCAGCUGCGCAA